GGAUAGCUCAGCUGGUUAGAACAUGGUGCUGAUAGUGUCAAGGUUGCAGGUUCGAACCCCGUAAGAACCG